AGAGGACUCUUGGAGGGAGAUUUGUCGAUAUAAAUUACAUAAAAUCUACUGUGGGGGGACAUCACAGCUCUCCUGUCUUAUCAGAAAUGUCCUGUUCACUUUCUCACGGUUACACUAUGCUGUGAAGAGGUGGAGAAUCUGAAUGGGAUGCAGCAAUGACAGAACACCUGAAGCUUGCUCCGGGAAGAGAUGGGGGUGGAGGUUACAAGAAAUGAGCCAAACAACUGUAGUUAGUUUAAGGGAUAUUUCAUCCAAAAAUGAAAAUAGUCAUAAUUUUCUCACCCUCAUGUUACGAUCAUAAUAAUUUUUCCUACAGUGGCAGUUAAUGGUUUGUGAGAUCUGCUUGGUUACA